rnacentral:rRNA from 2 species
UCGAGAAUAUUUCGCAAUGGGGGAAACCCUGACGAUGCGACGCCGCGUGCGGGAUGAAGGCCUUCGGGUUGUAAACCGCUGUGUUAUGGGAAGAAUCGCUAGUUGGUGAUAAGCCAGUUAGCUUGACGGUACCAUAGUAGAAAGCCCCGGCUAACUCACGUGCCAGCAGCCGCGGUAAUACGUGGGGGGCAAGCGUUGUCCGGAAUUACUGGGCGUAAAGCGCGCGUAGGCGGCCAUAUCAGUCAUGUGUGAAAUUGCUUGGCUCAACCAAGCAACUGUGCUUGAUACUGUAUGGCUUGAGUACGGAAGAGGAAAGUGGAAUACACGGUGUAGCGGUGAAAUGCGUAGAUAUCGUGUAGAACACCAGUGGCGAAGGCGGCUUUCUAGUCCGAUACUGACGCUGAGGUGCGAAAGUCUGGGGAGCAAACGGG